AUGUAUUUUUCUUUAUCUCUAAAUACUUGUGGACAUCUGAGGCACAAAGCAGCUUGGCACAUUUGAUGCAGACAUAUUCAAAAGAAGAGCUGGAGAGUAGAAAGCAGAUCCACAAACCAAGUAUACAGAUGAGGAGAAAUGAAAGCCGGUGUUGGCCCAGAGCUGAUUGAUGCAUUUGAUACAUAUUCAAAAGAAAAGCUGGAGAGAUGAAGUAAAUCAUCAUCACAUUAAGUAUACAGAUGAAGAAAAAUGAAAGGCCUUGGUUAUACAUAUUCAAAAGAAGAGCUGGAGAGAAGUGAAUCGACACUCUAAGUAUACAGAUGAUUCGAAAUGAAAGGCCUUGGUCCAGUGUGUAUCAGUACAUUUCACACAUUUUCAAAAGAAGAGCCAGAGAGAAGCCAUUGGGAUGUACAUCAAUGUACAACUAAAGAAAAAUGAAAGAUUAUAUAUGCUGAGGAAGCGGACACUCUAGUUUCAAAAUUUGUAAAAAAACCUUGCUUCUGUAGUUUUAUCUCUGGUGUAUUUCCUACAGACCUUAAGAUGCAGGAAUCUCUUCUUCAUCAUUUUCAAAGCCAAGGAACUGCCAACGAUGACCUUCUCGGAGCAGAACAAAAGCUAUUCGGAGGCAUGUCAUUUAGUGUUAUCAGUUAACUGGACUUUGGGAGAGUUUUCUUGCAAAAUGUUUGCCAAGGUGGCGAUCGAAGGUGGACAGCAAGAUCGAAGCUCAGCAAGAUUGAAGCU